rnacentral:tRNA from 1 species
GCUGGUUUGGCUCAGUGGAUAGAGCAUCAGCCUGCAGACUGAAGGGUCCCAGGUUCGAUUCCGGUUGCGAGCU